AUUGAACGCUGGCGGCAGGCCUAACACAUGCAAGUCGAGCGAGUGGCGGACGGGUGAGUAAUGUCUGUGAAACUGCCUGAUUGAGGGGGAUAACUACUGGAAACGGUAGCUAUUACCACAUACUAUCGGAUGUACCCAGAUGGGAUUAGCUAGUAGGUGGGGUAAAGGCUCACCUAGGAGACGAUCCCUAGCUGGGCUGAGAGGAUGAUCAGGGAUCCCAUGAAUGAGAGACGGCACAGACUCAGACGGGAGGAAGGAGAGGGGAAGAUUGCACAAUUGGCGGAAGGCUGAUGCAGGCAUGCCGGGUGUAGGAAGGAGGCCUGAGGGUUGUGGUGUACAUUCAGCGUGGAGGAGUUACCCGAAGAAGAAGCACCGGCUAACUCCGUGCCAGCAGCCGCGGUAAUAC
rnacentral:rRNA from 1 species